rnacentral:rRNA from 1 species
GAUGAACGCUAGCGGCAGGCUUAAUACAUGCAAGUCGAGGGGUAGAGAAGUACUUGUAUUUCUUGAGACCGGCGAACGGGUGCGUAACGCGUAUGCAACCUACCUUUANCAGGGGGAUAGCCCAGAGAAAUUUGGAUUAAUACCGCAUAAUAGAUUGAAUGGCAUCAUUUGGUCUUGAAAGAUUUAUUGGAUAGAGAUGGGCAUGCGUAGGAUUAGCUAGUAGGCGAGGUAACGGCUCACCUAGGCGACGAUCCUUAGGGGCUCUGAGAGGAGUAACCCCCACACUGGUACUGAGAUACGGACCAGACUCCUACGGGAGGCAGCAGUAGGGAAUAUUGGUCAAUGGACGAGAGUCUGAACCAGCCAUGCCGCGUGCAGGAAGACUGCCCUCUGGGUUGUAAACUGCUUUUAUAUGGGAAGAAAGACUCUUGCGAGAGGCAUUGACGGUACCAUAGGAAUAAGCCACGGCUAACUACGUGCCAGCAG